UACGUAGGGUGCAAGCGUUGUCCGGAAUUAUUGGGCGUAAAGAGCUCGUAGGCGGUCUGUCGCGUCGGCUGUGAAAUCCCGAGGCUCAACCUCGGGUCUGCAGUCGAUACGGGCAAACUAGAGUAUUGCAGGGGAGACUGGAAUUCCUGGUGUAGCGGUGAAAUGCGUAGAUAUCGAGAGGAACACCUGCGGCGAAGGCGGGUUGCUGGGCUGACACUGACGCUGAGGCGCGAAAGCCAGGGGAGCGAACGGG
rnacentral:rRNA from 1 species